rnacentral:rRNA from 1 species
UUAGAGUUUGAUCCUGGCUCAGGAUAAACGCUGGCGGCGUGCCCAACACAUGCAAGUCGAACGCUCUCUCCUUUCGGGGAGAGGGAGUGGCGGACGGGUGAGUAAUACGUGGGUAAUCUACCCUCAAGUGAGGAGUACCGCCGGGAAACCGGUGACAAUACCGCAUAGGUUUGUGAGCAUAUCACGAACAAAGCUUCGCAAGAGGCGCUUGAGGACGAGCCUGCGUCCGAUUAGUUAGCUGGUGGGGUAAUGGCCUACCAGGACGAUGAUCGGUAGCUGGUCUGAGAGGAUGAUCAGCCACACUGGGAUUGAGAACGGCCCAGACUCCUACGGGAGGCAGCAGUGAGGAAUUUUCCGCAAUGGGCGAGAGCCUGACGGAGCAACGCCGCGUGCAGGAUGAAGGUCUUCGGAUCGUAAACUGCUUUUUCCAGGGAAGAAACAAGACGGUACCUGGAGAAUAAGCCCCGGCUAACUACGUGCCAGCAGCCGCGGUAAUACGUAGGGGGCGAGCGUUAUUCGGAAUUAUUGGGCGUAAAGCGCACGCAGGCGGUUCAGCAAGUUCCUGCUGACGGUCUCCGGCUUAACCGGGGAAGGCGUAGGGAAACUACUGGACUUGAGACAUCGAGAGGCAGACGGAAUUCCGUGUGGAGCAGUGAAAUGCGUAGAGAUGCGGAAGAACACCCGAGGCGAAGGCGGUCUGCUGGCGAUGUUCUGACGCUGAGGUGCGAAAGCUAGGGGAGCGAACAGGAUUAGAUACCCUGGUAGUCCUAGCCGUAAACGAUGACCACUAUCCGUGGGGGGCUCGACCCCUUCCGUGGAGUAGCUAACGCGAUAAGUGGUCCGCCUGGGGAGUACGACCGCAAGGUUAAAACUCAAAGGAAUUGACGGGGACCCGCACAAGCAGCGGAGCGUGUGGUUUAAUUCGAUGCAACGCGAAGAACCUUACCAGGGUUUGACAUGACGUUGACCGCGCUGGAAACAGCGUUCCCUUCGGGGCAGCGUCACAGGUGCUGCAUGGCUGUCGUCAGCUCGUGCCGUGAGGUGUUAGGUUCAGUCCUUCAACGAGCGCAACCCCUAUUGCCGGUUAAUUUCUCCGGCGAAACUGCCGUCGGAAGGCGGAGGAAGGUGGGGAUGAUGUCAAGUCAGCACGGCCCUUACAUCCUGGGCGACACACACGCUACAAUGGUCGAGACAGCGAGUUGCUAACCCGCGAGGGGGAGCCAAUCUUUCAAACUCGAUCUCAGUUCGGAUUGCAGGCUGCAACCCGCCUGCAUGAAGUUGGAGUUGCUAGUAACCGUGAGUCAGCACAUCACGGUGAAUACGUUCCCGGGUCUUGUACACACCGCCCGUCACACCACGAAAGUCGGUCACACCUGAAGCCGCCAGGCUAACCCUUUGGGGAGGCAGGCGUCGAGGGCGGGGCUGGUGAUUGGGGUGAAGUCGUAACAAGGUAGCCGUA